rnacentral:lncRNA from 1 species
UGCUGAGCAGAGAGCUGACAGGAUAAUUACUCUUUGGAAAUCAGCCAGGGUCACUAAUCCAAGACACAAGCGAGUGAUAGCAUGCUGUGUUAAUUUGCUUGUCCGAGGGAAAACAAUGUCUUAGUCUGAGCAGAGAGAGAUGAGAAGGCAACAAAUCCUCUGACAUCCCCAAACACUCAGAGGGCAGAGAGGUAACCAGAUGUGAGUUGCAUCGGAAGUUUUUAGCUGAAACUGAUGAGCUGAACCCUCCUGGUGCUUGUUGGAGACAGAGAAAACUUGUCUAAAAUUCAAAAGAAUGGAUCAUUCAGACAGUCCUGCAACCCACCGAAAGGCCAAGAUCAUGUUCGGCCUGAAAGUGAAGAAGAAGAAGAAAGUCAACACCGACCUGGUCCUGGAAAACAAGGGAGCUGUGGACAGUGAGGCGGAGGUGCACUCUGAUGUGACUGUCCUGCUGGAGGGAGAAAACCUUGACGAUCAACCUGGAACCUCCGCAGUCAGAACCAGGAUAAUACCAAACAAUAAGAGGGCCAAGCUGAAAACUCGCGUCCAGGACGGUGAAGGGAAACCACAGAGCUUCCAGGUGAC